UACGGGAGGCAGCAGUGAGGAAUAUUGGUCAAUGGGCGAGAGCCUGAACCAGCCAAGUAGCGUGAAGGAUGAAGGCUCUAUGGGUCGUAAACUUCUUUUAUAUGGGAAUAAAGUUUUCCACGUGUGGAAUUUUGUAUGUACCAUAUGAAUAAGGAUCGGACUACUCCGUGCCAGCAGCCGCGGUAAU
rnacentral:rRNA from 1 species